rnacentral:rRNA from 1 species
UGAAACUGCGAAUGGCUCAUUAAAACAGUUAUAGUUUAUUUGAUAAUCGAAAGUUACAUGGAUAACCGUGACAAAUUACAGCUAAUACACGCAUCAAGAUCCAGCAAUGGAUUGUAAUUAUUAGUAUUAAACUAAUUCCUUCGGGAAUGUGAUGAAUCAUAAUAAUCGAACGAAUCGUAGAAUUCUACGAUAAAUCAUUCAAGUUUCUGCCCUAUCAGCUUUGGAUGGUAGUGUAUUGGACUACCAUGGCGUUUACGGGUAACGGAGAAUUAGGGUUCGAUUCCGGAGAGGGAGCCUGAGAAACGGCUACCACAUCUACGGAAGGCAGCAGGCGCGAAAAUUGCCCAAUCCUGAUUCAGGGAGGCAGUGACAAGAAAUAACAACUCUCAACAUUGUUGAGAAGUGUAAUGAGGAUAAUUUACAAACCUUACCGAAAGCAAUUGGAGGGCAAGUCUGGUGCCAGCAGCCGCGGUAAUUCCAGCUCCAAAAGCGUAUAUUAAAGUUGUUGCAGUUAAAAAGCUCGUAGUUGAAGUUCUGGCUGUAUUGGGCCUCUGCACUUGAUGCGAAGGAACCAGCAGUCAUCCGCUUGCAAAUACAUGUUCUUCCUUAACCGGUAGACUGUAUAAGUAAGCAAUUUACCUUGAGAAAAACAGAGUGUUCCAGGCAGGUUUGUCCGGAAUGCGUUAGCAUGGAAUAAUAGAAUAUGACUAGAGUCGAUUUAUUGGUUAAAGGCUUUAGUAAUGAUUANUAGGAACAAUCGGGGGCAUUGGUACUCGUCAGUCAGAGGUGAAAUUCUAAGAUUUGACGAAGACUAACUGAUGCGAAAGCGUUUGCCAAGAAUGUUUUCAUUAAUCAAGAACGAAAGUUAGGGGAUCAAUGACGAUUAGAUACCGUCCUAGUCUUAACUAUAAACUAUACCGACUCGGAUUCAGAUGAAUAUUAAAGUUCAUUUGGGACCGUAGGAGAAAUCAAAGUCUUUGGGUUCUUGGUGGAGUACGAUCGCAAGAUUGAAACUUAAAGGAAUUGACGGUUUUGCACACCAUGGAGUGGAGCCUGUGGCUUAAUUUGACUCAACACUGGGAAACUCAUCAGGACAAAAAAGUUUUAGGAUUGACAGAUUGAUAGCUCUUUCUUGAUUGACUUAAUGGUGGUGCAUGGCCGUUCUUAGUUGGUGGAGUGAUUUGUCUGGUUAAUUCCGUUAACGAACGAGACCUCAACCUACUAACUAGUACGACGUGAACAACGUUAGUUACUUCUUAGAGGGACAAUGUGUGUUAACACAAGGAAGUUUGAGGCAAUAACAGGUCUGUGAUGCCCUUAGAUGUCCUGAGCCGCACACGCGCUACAAUGACACUUUCAAUAAGCAUCUGCUGGCCCGAAAGGGUUCAGGCUAAUCUUUUUAGUAAGUGUCGUGCUAGGGAUAGAUCUUUGCAAUUAUGGAUCUUGAACGAGGAAUUCCUAGUAAGCACAAGUCAUCAGCUUGUGCUGAUUACGUCCCUGCAAAAUGUACACAUCGCCCGUCGCUUGCUCCGAUUGAAUAAUCUGGUGAGCCUUCUUGACUGAGUGGGCAACCACGAAGGAUAUUAAGCAAACCAUAUUAUUUAGAGGAUGAAGAAGUCGUAACAAAGUUUCCGUAGGUGAACCUGCAGA